rnacentral:rRNA from 1 species
GCUCAACCGGGGAGGGUCAUUGGAAACUGGGGAACUUGAGUGCAGAAGAGGAGAGUGGAAUUCCACGUGUAGCGGUGAAAUGCGUAGAGAUGUGGAGGAACACCAGUGGCGAAGGCGACUCUCUGGUCUGUAACUGACGCUGAGGCGCGAAAGCGUGGGGAGCGAACAGGAUUAGAUACCCUGGUAGUCCACGCCGUAAACGAUGAGUGCUAAGUGUUAGAGGGUUUCCGCCCUUUAGUGCUGCAGCAAACGCAUUAAGCACUCCGCCUGGGGAGUACGGUCGCAAGACUGAAACUCAAAGGAAUUGGCGGGGGCCCGCACAAGCGGUGGAGCAUGUGGUUUAAUUCGAAGCAACGCGAAGAACCUUACCAGGUCUUGACAUCCUCUGACAACCCUAGAGAUAGGGCUUCCCCUUCGGGGGCAGAGUGACAGGUGGUGCAUGGUUGUCGUCAGCUCGUGUCGUGAGAUGUUGGGUUAAGUCCCGCAACGAGCGCAACCCUUGAUCUUAGUUGCCAGCAUUCAGUUGGGCACUCUAAGGUGACUGCCGGUGACAAACCGGAGGAAGGUGGGGAUGACGUCAAAUCAUCAUGCCCCUUAUGACCUGGGCUACACACGUGCUACAAUGGGCAGAACAAAG